CCAGGAAAAAAAAAAAGCCAACAAAACAAAAUCAAAGCCAUGAAUGAGCUUUGUGACAGUGUUUCUAAUACAGUGUUUCUAAUACAUUAAUAUCUGAAUUUCAGGUUCAACUAAAAUUUACUUUUUUUUUCCUAUCAUAGGUCUAUAUUUCACUUAUUUCCAGAAGAAAAUCUCAAGUUCAGAGCAGCAAGUCAGACAAGGGUUUGUCAUCUUUGAGAUUUCCCCCUUAAGAAGUGGGAUUAGAUUUCCAAGAGACUUUUGCACCUACAAAUAUGUACAGACUAAGAACUGACAGAAGGCACUACUUCCAGAUGCAUUUCCUCAGUCUUGCAGGUGCCAAUGCUAAAGGAUAAUUCCAGAGUUUCACUUCUGGAAAUAACUUGAAACUUGUAACUCAAAGGAGAAGAAUAUGAGGUACAAGCAGUUACUUGUUGAGAAGGAGAAUAAAGCCUAGAACUAUUUUUAUUGACUACUUCCCACUUUGAUUGCACCUGAUGCCUCUCUCUGGACUAGGGAAGUCCUCAAAUACUGGUACACAACAUUACCUGAACUUGACUGAAAUUAUUAUUAAGCGGAGGUUUUCUCUCAACAGACAGCAGAUAUAGCCAUAGAAGGUCAGUGUUAAUCAGCAGUGUUAUCUUUUGUGGUGCAUAGAUACCAGGGUGGCUGUGUUUACAGAG
rnacentral:lncRNA from 1 species